rnacentral:rRNA from 1 species
GUUGAUAAGGUUAAGUGAAUAAGGGCGCACGGUGGAUGCCUUGGCACUAGGAGCCGAUGAAGGACGGGACUAACACCGAUAUGCUUUGGGGAGCUGUAAGUAAGCUAUGAUCCAGAGAUUUCCGAAUGGGGGAACCCAAUAUCUUUUAUAGGAUAUUACUUUUCAGUGAAUACAUAGCUGAUUAGAGGUAGACGCAGAGAACUGAAACAUCUUAGUACCUGCAGGAAGAGAAAGAAAAUUCGAUUCCCUGAGUAGCGGCGAGCGAAACGGGAAGAGCCCAAACCAACAAGCUUGCUUGUUGGGGUUGUAGGACUCCGAUAUGGUAGUCUGUUAGUAUAGUUGAAGGAUUUGGAAAAUUCCGCUAAAGAGGGUGAAAGCCCCGUAGACGAAAUGCUGACAACACCUAGGAGGAUCCUGAGUACGGCGGAACACGAGAAAUUCCGUCGGAAUCCGCGGGGACCAUCCCGCAAGGCUAAAUACUCCCUAGUGACCGAUAGUGAACCAGUACCGUGAGGGAAAGGUGAAAAGCACCCCGGAAGGGGAGUGAAAUAGAUCCUGAAACCGUGUGCCUACAACAAGUCAAAGCUCGUUAAUGAGUGAUGGCGUGCCUUUUGUAGAAUGAACCGGCGAGUUACGAUUGCAUGCGAGGUUAAGUCGAAGAGACGGAGCCGCAGCGAAAGCGAGUCUGAAUAGGGCGAAUGAGUAUGUAGUCGUAGACCCGAAACCAUGUGAUCUACCCAUGUCCAGGUUGAAGGUGCGGUAAAACGCACUGGAGGACCGAACCCACGUACGUUGAAAAGUGCGGGGAUGAGGUGUGGGUAGCGGAGAAAUUCCAAACGAACUUGGAGAUAGCUGGUUCUCUCCGAAAUAGCUUUAGGGCUAGCCUCGGAAUUGAGAAUGAUGGAGGUAGAGCACUGUUUGGACUAGGGGCCCAUCUCGGGUUACCGAAUUCAGAUAAACUCCGAAUGCCAUUCAUUUAUAUCCGGGAGUCAGACUGCGAGUGAUAAGAUCCGUAGUCGAAAGGGAAACAGCCCAGACCACCAGCUAAGGUCCCAAAAUAUAUGUUAAGUGGAAAAGGAUGUGGGGUUGCACAGACAACUAGGAUGUUGGCUUAGAAGCAGCCACCAUUUAAAGAGUGCGUAAUAGCUCACUAGUCGAGUGACCCUGCGCCGAAAAUGUACCGGGGCUAAACAUAUUACCGAAGCUGUGGACUACACCAUUAGGUGUAGUGGUAGGAGAGCGUUCUAAGGGCGUUGAAGGUCGAUCGUGAGGACGGCUGGAGCGCUUAGAAGUGAGAAUGCCGGUAUGAGUAGCGAAAGACAGGUGAGAAUCCUGUCCACCGUAUGACUAAGGUUUCCUGGGGAAGGCUCGUCCGCCCAGGGUUAGUCGGGACCUAAGCCGAGGCCGAUAGGCGUAGGCGAUGGACAACAGGUUGAUAUUCCUGUACCAGUUGUUUUUGUUUGAGCAAUGGAGGGACGCAGUAGGCUAAGGAAUGCAUGCGAUUGGAAGUGCAUGUCCAAGCAAUGAGUCUUGAGUAGAGUUAAAUGCUUUACUCU